GCGGAUAUAGCUCAGCGGUAGAGCGCAUGCUUACUUAGCAGGCACGAGGUCCUGGGUUCAAUUCCCAGUACCUCCA
rnacentral:tRNA from 1 species